rnacentral:rRNA from 1 species
GUGCAGCAGGCGCGAAGAUUCCGCAAUGCCCGAAAGGGCGACGGAGUGAACCCGAGUGCCACCCGCUGAGGGUGGCUGUUCCCCUGUGUAAAAAGCAGGGGGCAGGAAGGGGAGGGCAAGGCUGGUGGCAGCCGCCGCGGUAAAACCAGCUCCCCGAGGGGUUCCCACGCAUACUGGGCCUAAAGCGUCCGUAGCCGGCCCUGUAAGUCUGCAGUUAAAUCCGCCUGUAGACAGGCGGGUUGCUGCAGAUACUGCAGGGCUAGGGAGCGGGAGGAGCCGGGGGUAUUCCCGGGGGAGCGGUAAAAUGCGUAGAUCCCGGGAGGACCACCAGUGGCGAAGGCGCCCGGCUUGAACGCGUCCGACGGUGAGGGACGAAAGCUGGGGGAGCAAAAGGGAUUAGAGACCCCUGUAGUCCUGGCUGUAAACGAUGCGGGCUAGGUGUUGGCUGAGCUUCGUGCUCAGCCAGUGCCGCAGGGAAGCCGUUAAGCCCGCCGCCUGGGGAGUACGGCCGCAAGGCUGAAACUUAAAGGAAUUGGCGGGGGAGCAC